GUGAAUCAUNGAAUCUUUGAACGCACAUUGCGCCCCCUGGUAUUCCGGGGGGCAUGCCUGUUCGAGCGUCAUUACACCACUCCAGC
rnacentral:rRNA from 1 species